rnacentral:rRNA from 1 species
UACGGGGGGAGCAAGCGUUGUUCGGAUUUACUGGGCGUAAAGCGCGUGUAGGCGGCUCGGUAAGUCUGCUGUGAAAGUCCAGGGCUCAACCCUGGGAUGCCGGUGGAUACUGUCGAGCUCGAGUCCGGAAGAGGCGAGUGGAAUUCCUGGUGUAGCGGUGAAAUGCGCAGAUAUCAGGAGGAACACCAAUGGCGAAGGCAGCUCGCUGGGACGUGACUGACGCUGAGACGCGAAAGCGUGGGGAGCAAACAGG